AGAGGAUACUGAAGAAUAAGAUACCCAAGGAGAAAAACUAAAGUACAGGAAUGGACAUGCUUUAGAGCAGAACAGAAAGGAGGAAGCUUGGCAAGAGGAUAUGAAAGAGAACAGGACUGCUGAAAGGGCAUCCACGUGGAAAACAGUCACCCAACAUAAGAGCAGACACAGCAGCGGAUGAAUCCCUUUUGGAAGAACAGCCUCAGGUUAGAGUAGAAAACCGGAAACGCUGGAAAGAAUAAAGGCAAAGGAGCUCCGUCUGGAAAAGAUCCAGAGCACGGACAAAACUACCAUGGAGGCAAAGACAGGAGGAGAGGCAUACUGAGUCCCAUCCGCCAAGAGUGCAGGUACCUGCUUCAGACUUAUUUAUGCCAAUCAGCAGGAAAUGAGCAGGGCUUCUUGCCCUGCCUUGUGCUGCAAGGGGGGUCACCCAAACUUCACUUAUGAUUAUCCUUAUGAUUUCCUGUAAUUUCCAGUCUCACUGUUAACGAGUGCUCACCAGGACCGAAAAGACCAGAAUCAUCUGAUUCAGUCCUCCCACUACCAUAGGCAACUACAUGUAACAGGCAUGUGAGCAUUUUAAGUACCCAGAAGGGCAGCUGUCUUGGUUUUCAUAGGUGCAAAAAAAGGAAAUGAGCCCCAGCCUCUGAUUCCUGGCUGGCAGGCUUAGGUAUGCUUUAUUCCACAAAGUGGGAAAAGGCUAGAGGUAUGCCUGUGCCUUUUAGGAGAGGGAGUUCCCCCAAAAAGUUGGGUACAAGUGCGUUCCCAAGAAAGAGGGGAUGUUUUCUCUAGCAAGAUCAGAGGUGAUGGCUGCCAGACCUGAGGGUGAUGUUAAUGGGGUGGAGUUCUUUAUAGGAGUGGAUGUGAAGAGCAGGAGGAGAGAUUUUGCACCAGAAGAGCUGUAGUAUGCGGGGAUUUGGAAGGUCUGAGGCAUGGCCAUGCAACUUUGCACGGCAAGUUU